ensembl:lncRNA
UGAUUUAAAAUAGUCCAAUUGACUUAAGAGUAACCAAAUUUAUAUUUCAACUAAUAUCAUCAUCUUUGUAUCCCUGGGGCCUGGAACAUAAUGCCCCCCCCAAUAAAUAUUUGUUGAAGUGAAUGGAUUUGUGAUUUCCUCCAACCUCCUUGCCGUUCUGUAAUUUAAUCUGUAGGGCCAGGGGAAGAAUGUUUAUGAGAACCAGCACCUACCUUUGAGUGCUUUUUUCAAAGGGUUCCCCUCCACAUACCACACACACAUUACACACAUACACACACACUACACACACACACACACACACACACACGCACUUAAAAUGCAGGAAAAGGAAGACUAAAGGAGAAUGGGGCAUGCUAACCUUUUGAAUGUUAUCUGCCAUAGAAAAAUGAGAGUAUACAGCAUAAAUAUUAUGGCAGCAUUUGGGGCCCUGGAGAGAAUACUCUGAGGGCCUGAGUCACACAGGCAGUCCAAGGAGCACCUUUGUGCAGCUUUCUGAGAUGGGUUUUUUGAAUGACAGACUCUCAAGGCGGCAGUUUGAGGGUCUACCUAACACAGCCACCGUGCUGUUGAACUAAGCUCACAUUUGAAUUACCUAGACUAGAAGAGUCUCAUUUCUUGGACUUUGAAGGCUGCUUAGGGCUGCUGCAGGGCCCAAGUUGCCAGUUACACACCACUGAUACAGGGACUGCAAACCUAGCACAACCUGCUGAGAUGAGAAAGCUAAAUUUUCAGGUACCGUGAUGUGUUUUGGAUAUUUGUCCCCUCCAAAGUUCAUGUUGAAAUACAAUCCCCAGUGUUGGAGGCAGGACCUGGUGGGAGGUGAUUGAAUCAUGGGGGUGGAUCCCUCAUGAAUGGCUUAGCACUAUCCCCUUGGUGAUAGGUGAGUUUUCACUCAGUUCACACAAGAUCUCUUGUUUAAAAGAGCCAGGCACCUCCCCGCCCCCCACUCUUGUUCCUGCUCUCACCAUGUGACAUGCUGGCUCCCUGUCCCCUUCUGUCAUUAUAGGCAUCCUGAGGCCUUACCAGAAGCAGAUGCUGGCACCUUGCUUCCCAUAAAGCCCUCAGACUUAUGUCAAAAGGAUAAAUCAGGGACGUCUGUGCAUUCCCCUCAGAGCUCACUCUGCUAGCGUGAGCUCCAGUGGACAAUGUGUACCAGAAGCUUGAGGCUCCUCUAUUGUUGAGCCACAGUCCACCCAAUCUCAGAUCACCACUGGAGGCAUCAGGUAGGUUACCAGGAAGAAUAAUACACAAACCUGCUUUUAGGACAAUGUCAUUGUUACACUUAUUAUUUCACUUUCUCUUUUCUGGGCUGAGAGUACUUCACAAUAUACAAUCUCUAUUCUUGGUCUUCCUGUGAGAUAAGCAGUUAGAGAAAAUGGGAAAUCUUAGCACAUCUGAACAAUAGUAAGUCUUUCUUCACAGUGUUGUCUGAAGAGUGUUGCUUGAUGACAUCAGCAGCCAGAUCUGUGCCUUCCCUCACACAAUGAGGCUGAGUUUCUGUGCAUGGGUGAGAAAGCAUCUUAUGAGCUGAAUGAUAAUUAGGAAAACCAUUGAGAAAAUGAGAGUAACAGCCUGCGAAUUAAAGGCAGUCAAAAUGUAAAAGUAAAUUAAAUCUUCGGUUUUUAAAAAAGAGAGGCAAUCUUGCCCACAACAUUUUGACCCUUUUCCUUUAUUUCUUCCCAAUCCAUGCUUCUUUAUUUUUUCUUGGGCCCUGGUUCAUUUUCUCACUGACUUGAUACUGCGUCAAACAGUUUUGUGGUUUCUGUAGGUGUGUCAUUAAAACAAGGACAUGGCUUCUAGGCAUCUGUGAUGACUCAGCAAGUUCAAACGCUAUCUGCUGUGUUAGUGCAAUGAUCAACCUCCUCUUGCAGUACAGAGACGGCCAGAUGUCCAGGGUGCAUGGCAGGGCUCUGGGUGGGCAUUUGUUGUUUUAGUCAAUCAGUUAUGCCAAGGAUGGUCAGUCAAGUGGCAUGGCAUCAUAUUAC